rnacentral:lncRNA from 1 species
UUUGGAAUAUGGGGUUUGGGGUUUGGGGUUUAGAGGUUUCGGGGUUUGAGGUUUGGGGUUUGGGGUUUCAUCUUAGCUUCACAAGCAGACCAAGUUAGCUUCCUUCCAUACUUCUCAUUGAUCCGCAUAAUCACGAGUACGAAAUUUAAAAAUAAAGAUGGAGUUUGGAAUAUAUGAAAAUAAGGAAUAUGGAGUUUGGGGUUUGGAAUAUGGGGUUUGGGGUUUGGGGUUUAGAGGUUUCAAGGUUUGAGGUUUGGGGUUUGGGGUUUCAGGUUUGGAGUUUGGGGUUUGGGGUUUCAGGUUUGGGGUUUGGGGUUUGGAGGUUUCGGAUUUUAGGGAUUUAAACAUAAUACUCGUUAAUUCCACGUAGGCAGAAAUCGUCGUAAACACCACGUAAAAGGAUUUAAACAAAAUACUCGUUAAUUCCACGUAAGCAGAAAUCGUCGUAAAGACCACGUUGGAUGAAAUCGUCGUAAAUACCACGUAAAAGGAUUUAAACAUAACACUCGUUAAUUCCACGUAAGCAGAAAUUGUCGUAAAUACCUCGUAGUGUAAAAACUAGAAAAAAGGAAAAAUGAUAAAAAUACCAGAUUAACAUGUGGCAAGACUUCCAGCAAUUAUAAUACGUAAGUCUCGCCCACAUGAAUUCUAAUAUCUUAUCAUUUUCCUAUUUUUUUUAAAUAUUUAUAAUUUGAAUAGGAUUUUACUGAGGAAUGUGAUUUCGGAUAGAGUGUGAUUUGGGAGUUUGUGUGUAGUUUGAGAAUGAGAGUUGUGGGUAUAUUUAUA